CAGUGUAUCCUGCUAGCAUCCCCUCCCGUUGUACACGUCACUCCUGUAUCCAGCCCUGUACAUGAUGUAAAAGAAAACAUGAUCCACGAGACCUUCUUCUAAUCUUCCAAGGUUUCCCAGAGACUAUGGGUUGAGGAGGAAUUGGAAGUUUGUCGGCUUAGACCUGGUGUCAUUCCAUCAGUGUUAAACUUCCAGGCUCAUCUUGGAAGAGUACGUGCCAGAAAGACCACGACCAAGCAGCCUUGAGAUCUUAGACAGCGUCUCCCUGAGACCAAAGAACUACAGACUCUUCACAACCUGCUCAAACUCUUGGUACAGGACCUCACCACACGGGUCAAGAAGGUUUCCGUCUCAUUUCUACUCUGAAGCUCACCUUCUCCUGCUCAAACUGCUGACAAAUGUUUCUGCUGCUCUAAAGUCUGGUCUCCAGAACUUCCUAAAAACUCUCAAAGUCUCUUCUGCUGCAGGUUGCUUUGUAGAACUGUUCCAGAAAACCUCACUAAACCACAUGGAGGGGCCUCAAGAUAGUCGUCCAAAUGAAACCGUACAAAAACCAAACUAGUACAACCCAAACGCUAAAGUCUCCUGCAGCCUACCAGAGAACCUCUGAGAACAGAGAAUCAGGACAGGAACUCUUACCUUCUGGACAACCAACGUUGGUUCACAAACAAGAAUACAGAAUGUGUCUGACCAAAAACCUCUGAAGACUCACUACAGCCGAGAUAAAGACACAACUCAGCUGGACCAAACCCACUAAUCACUGCACACAUUAGCACCAUGUGCUAACUGUGGUUAAAGAACCACAUUUACCAAGACAACUAUCCAGUACAAAGCCCUAAAACACACCAAGAAACACAUUAAAGACGAUUUUACUGCUGGAAGCUGCAAGCCAACACCUAAAGAACAAACUAAAGCAACGGAGCUAAACCCGGUUCUGUGGUGAAGAGAAGCAGAGGAAAUGUUUGUCUGCAGCUAAAUAAAGCAGGAAGACACUGAGCUGCUCAGGUGUUCCUGAUAACACCAAGCAGCCACCUGGACAGCCAAUAGGAACACAGCUUACUGGAAGUCCAGAGGGCUGGGUUAGUGAAGGAAAUUUAAAGUUGAAGCAGAAAGUUAACAAAGAAAGUUGAAAACCACCUUCUGAUACCUGAAAUCUCUGAGUUUUCACACAAAGAACACCUGAACAUGUCAAACUGGCUUCAUAGUAGAACCAUCAUUGUAAAAACGUCAUAGUAUGGUGUGUUGCUCAAAAAACAUUAGGACCCGGCUGUCAGGGGACAAACAUGUAAGAAACAUGAGAACAGAGAGAACCCAACCAGUAGGUCACAGUUUAUCAUCCCCCAGUCAUCUCCUGAAGUCCAUAUGGUGAGAGACAUCAGUAUCUGGUUGUUAAUUUACCAGAGGAUGCUUAUAAUCAUGCUGAUGUGGUCUGUACUCUACAGUAUUUUAGUGACUCAAUAAAUGCCUAAGUUGUUUUUUUUUAAAAUGCUUUUUAGUUUUUGAUAAACAUUUAAUAGCCUAUAUGUAAUCAAUAAAUGGCCUUUGCCUAUCUUAAGAAAAAUUCACUCAGAACUCUGAUAUGUUAACAGUACUAAAUAAGUCAAUAAAUUCAUGCAUACACACAAAAAUAAGUUAAUACAUUAACUGUGUUAAGAUAAGAUUUAGAUUUUAAAAAAGUUGUUUAUGUUUUUGCAGAAUCCAGUAUUGCUCACUGGUUGGUCAUUACAUUUUAUUAGUUUGAUUUCACUGUUUAAAAUGAUGCCACCUCUUUUCAGACAGAACCUGUGAUAAUAAAACAAUACAAAAUGUUUAGUUCCGUGUUAAUAAAGCACUUAAAGCUUUAAGUAUGGCUCAAUGCUUUUUUCAAAAUUAAAUAUAUCACUCCUUAGGUGGUAGUGGCCCCAAGUUCAGUAAAGUUGGAAAGAUAUUCACAGAUUCGGACUUGCAGCAUCAAUAACUCAUUAGAUAUAGGUUGUCAAAACAUAAACGGUGCCUCUUUCCCAUUGUUGCAAGGCAGACAAUGUGCUACAAGCCCAGUUUUAUCAAAAGUAGCUGUCUUUCAAGCUACAGGAAUAACACUGGUGUCUAUGGAGUGAACAGGGUCCGUCUGCAAUUUGCAAAACCGCUGCAACAGUAAAGAGAGACAAAUAUUCAAUAACUUCACUCUUAUACAUUGUAGUGUCACUAAAAUCACUGCAGCCUUCAACUGGCUCCUGUUGACAAAGUGUUUUAACAGAAAUGUAAAUGCUGUAAUUUGAUU